rnacentral:lncRNA from 1 species
GUUCAACUUUGCAUUUUUGUUAAGCGAUUUCUUGUCGAUGAUACUAAAGGGUAAGUAGUUCUUGCUCAGUCGUCGUCUUCAUCUCUACCUGCCAUAUUGAACCUAGAGCUGAGAAUUUUAGGGUUUAGGUUGAGAAAUUCGUGUAACAAUGAAAGAAAAAUAUUUGAAAUUGAUUUUGUGGGUAGUCGUUUCAUCAAAUCUGUUGUUUUGUCAAGGUUUUGGGAUGGUUGUUAAUGUUUUGCAAAUGGUGUCGAUGAUUUCCUGAUCUAUGGGAUGGUUAUGUUGUUGUUUGUAAAUCUAUUGGUGGUGGUGUGGUGGUGGUGCAUAUGGUUGUGGUAAGGUGGUACGCGUUUGGUUCUCGAUGUUUGUGGGAAUGGUUGUUACGACGGCAAUCGAGUGUGAUCAAGUCUAU